GGCCGCGGGAAUUCGAUUCAGGCCUAACACAUGCAAGUCGAACGCCCUGGCAACAGGGAGUGGCAGACGGGUGCGUAACGCGUGGGAACAUGCCCUUUGGUUCGGAAUAACUCAGGGAAACUUGAGCUAAUACCGGAUAAGCCCGAGAGGGGAAAGAUUUAUCGCCGAAGGAUUGGCCCGCGUCUGAUUAGCUAGUUGGUGAGGUAAUGGCUCACCAAGGCGACGAUCAGUAGCUGGUCUGAGAGGAUGAUCAGCCACACUGGGACUGAGACACGGCCCAGACUCCUACGGGAGGCAGCAGUGGGGAAUAUUGGAAAGGGGGCGCAAGCCUGAUCCAGCCAUGCCGCGUGAGUGAGGGGGCCUUAGGGUUGUAAAGCUCUUUACCCGGGAAGAUAAUGAC
rnacentral:rRNA from 1 species